UUUCCGUAGGUGAACCUGCGGAAGGAUCAUUAAUGAGUUGUCAUGGGGUUCGAUGCUGGCAGCCAGUUUUUGGAUGCAUGUGCUUGCCCUAACAAUCCUCUUCUUCCAAACACCUGUGCACAUUUUUGAGGGAGUCUUGAGUUGGUUGCCGCUCUUGGGUGAUUUUCUCACAUUCCCUUAAAUCAUUAUACGCUAUUAACAAUGUUGAACGUGCUCUGUGCCGCAAGGCCAUUAAUAUAAUACAACUUUUAACAACGGAUCUCUUGGCUCUC
rnacentral:misc_RNA from 1 species